rnacentral:tRNA from 1 species
GCCGGUGUGGCGAAAUGGCAGACGCAGGGGACUUAAAAUCCCCUGGCCGCAAGGCCGUGCGGGUUCGAGUCCCGCCACCGGCACCA